CCCUGCCCUUUGUACACACCGCCCGUCGCUACUACCGAUUGAAUGGCUCAGUGAGGCCAUCGGACUGGCCCGUGGAGGUUGGCAACGACCACCGCGGGCCGGAAAGUUGUACGAACUCGGUCAUUUAG
rnacentral:rRNA from 1 species